rnacentral:misc_RNA from 1 species
CGAAUGUAAACAUAGAACAUAAACUACCGCCCGAGACGAUUGUUGCUCUAAUAGCCCAGUGGUGAUAACCAUGUAACCCAUAUAGAGGUGACACAUAAAUUAUUAUUUAUUAAAGAGCGUAAAUUUAAAAAAAAAGCAAUGUAUUCGCUUCCUACUCGACGACUAAUAAUAAAUUACAAUCGCAUUUUGCUCCAACUCUAUCGUGAUCGUUUAUCCUCGGAAGCAUUCUCGGACUUUGGUAAUUGAGGAUUAAGAAAGAAAUUUCGAAUACCUGAAUACGCGCGCACCAAUCCGUCUAUCCCUUAAACAAAUUAACAGCUGUGUAGGUUUUACCUGCCUGCUAACUAGGGGGUCUCAUAAAAUUCUUAAUCUACAAACAAGUAUGGUGGUGGUAACAGACUCUGUCGACUGUAUAAGCUCGGCAACUAGCUCGGAAAUUCAUUCCCAAUUCGAACAUCGAACAGAACGUUUGAAAGUUCUGAGAGAGCUUUAAUUUUGCAAUUUUUAAAAUUCUACAUUUCUGGAAGUACUUCGAGUUCGAAAGUUCUUCACGUUCGAGAAUCCUUCCCAUUUGGAAACAUCCUUAUACAUCUUCGUCACACUUGGAGCAGUAA